rnacentral:sRNA from 1 species
UUCUAGCCCCGAUAGUAGUGGAAAUCCUUUUUCUGGCUUCUUUAGCCAGGAAAAGAUUGAAACGGAUAGCGGGAUUAGCU